GGCUCAGUGUGUGUAUUUAAUUUAACUUGCGGCGCUCUGACUGGGACUGUGCAAGAGAGCAUCACCUUAAAGAUGACCAGAGUCAACCAGUUCAAAAGGUCAGAAUCAAUCACUUGGCUGGUUUCUCUCCUGUAAAGGUUUAUUUCAGAGUCCAUGCUUUGGUCAGGGUCUGUGUGGAUAACUGCUCCUUCAGAGAGAAAUGUUUUAGCAGUAGACUACGGGUCAUCUAACCUGCUAACAAACCAAGGAAUCAGGGAAAAUGUGUUUUAAUCACUGGGACCUGCUACAGUACAGAUCAAUUCCAAUGUACCAACAGCUGUCAUGGCUACAGGUGUAUAAAGGCUUUUUCCAGUGGAAGUGAUUGGGGGGCUCACCAACACAGUCACAAAAAGGUAAAAUGAGUAAAAGGACAGAAGAUGAUCUGUGGAUGAAGAGGUCACCAGAGUUCAUCAGCGCAGACCUCUCUGUGGCCUUCAGCGUGCCUCUCAUGCGUGUCAAAGUCAAGGCCCGGGGGCCGGAUCUGGCCCUCCAGGUAAUCCUAUC